rnacentral:rRNA from 1 species
GGGCGUAAAGGGCGCGUAGGCGGAUUAUCAAGUCUCUUGUGAAAUCUAAUGGCUUAACCAUUAAACUGCUUGGGAAACUGAUAGUCUAGAGUGAGGGAGAGGCAGAUGGAAUUGGUGGUGUAGGGGUAAAAUCCGUAGAUAUCACCAAGAAUACCCAUUGCGAAGGCGAUCUGCUGGAACUCAACUGACGCUAAGGCGCGAAAGCGUGGGGAGCAAACAGGAUUAGAUACCCUGGUAGUCCACGCCCUAAACGAUGUACACUAGUUGUUGGGGUGCUAGUCAUCUCAGUAAUGCAGCUAACGCAUUAAGUGUACCGCCUGGGGAGUACGGUCGCAAGAUUAAAACUCAAAGGAAUAGACGGGGACCCGCACAAGCGGUGGAGCAUGUGGUUUAAUUCGAAGAUACGCGAAGAACCUUACCUGGGCUUGAUAUCCUAAGAACCUUAUAGAGAUAUGAGGGUGCUAGCUUGCUAGAACUUAGAGACAGGUGCUGCACGGCUGUCGUCAGCUCGUGUCGUGAGAUGUUGGGUUAAGUCCCGCAACGAGCGCAACCCACGUAUUUAGUUGCUAACGGUUCGGCCGAGCACUCUAAAUAGACUGCCUUCGUAAGGAGGAGGAAGGUGUGGACGACGUCAAGUCAUCAUGGCCCUUAUGCCCAGGGCGACACACGUGCUACAAUGGCAUAUACAAUGAGACGCAAUACCGCGAGGUGGAGCAAAUCUAUAAAAUAUGUCCCAGUUCGGAUUGUUCUCUGCAACUCGAGAGCAUGAAGCCGGAAUCGCUAGUAAUCGUAGAUCAGCCAUGCUACGGUGAAUACGUUCCCGGGUCUUGUACUCACCGCCCGUCACACCAUGGGAGUUGAUUUCACUCGAAGCCGGAAUACUAAACUAGUUACCGUCCACAGUGGAAUCAGCGACUGGGGUGAAGUCGUAACAAGGUAACCGUAGGAGAACCUGCGGUUGGAUCACCUCCUUUCUA